CGUCACGUCGGAAACUCUCUACCAGGAUUCCAUCAGUUGAAACUCUUAUUGAAACCGAGGAUAGUUACGUCGGCAAUUCAGUUGUCGAAGGAAUGGAGGAUGACGGAGAAUUUGCAAAGCUAGGAACUUCAAAGGCAAAGCUGACUAGCCGACAUAAGAAAGCUGAAGCGACAGCGUUUCAUCUCCUCGCUGGUUUUAAUCGACAGAGGUCUAAACAAUUCUCAAUUUUGGACGGCACACUUUGGGACUUGUGGUUGGUGGACGGCGGUGGCCGGUGGUGGCGUAAUAUCUGCUCCGAUCUCGAUUGAGCAUAACAGCCGCCAUGGCUCCUCCUCCAAAGAAUCCAAAGAAGAGCAAGAAGGCCACGAAGAAACUGAAGAAGAAGAAAAAGAAGAUCAAAGUCAAAAUCCGAAGCAGCAC
rnacentral:lncRNA from 1 species